rnacentral:rRNA from 1 species
UACGGGAGGCAGCAGUGGGGAAUAUUGCACAAUGGGCGAAAGCCUGAUGCAGCUAUGCCGCGUGUAUGAAGAAGGCCUUAGGGUUGUAAAGUACUUUCAUCGGGGAGGAAAAAACAAAACUAAUAAUUUUAUUUCUUGACGUUACCCGAAAAAGAAGCACCGGCUAACUCCGUGCCAGCAGCCGCGGUAAUACGGAGGGUGCUAGCGUUAAUCAGAAUUACUGGGCGUAAAGAGCACGUAGGUGGUUUUUUUAAAGUCAGAUGUGAAAUCCCUGGGCUUAACCUAGGAACUGCAUUUUGAAACUGAAAUACUAGAGUAUCGUAGAGGGAGGUAGAAUUCUAGGUGUAGCGGUGAAAUGCGUAGAUAUCUGGAGGAAUACCUGUGGCGAAAGCGGCCUCCUAAACGAAUACUGACACUGAGGGUGCGAAAGCGUGGGGAGCAAACAGGAUUAGAUACC